rfam:Schistosoma rodhaini strain Burundi genome assembly, scaffold: SROB_scaffold0003017
AUUCAGCUGACGAGUCUCAAAUAGAACGAAACGCGCAUCCUGGAU